GUGACAAAGACCUGGCCAGGAUUGGUCAGAAAAAUGGUUUUUGCUUCGCUACCGACCAAAAGCAGCAAUUCCAGAAUAGGAGUACCAACGGGCUUGAUUGCAUUGCGGUUCAACUGCGCGUUGACUGCGCGAGCAUACUGAUAUAUUCAGCUAGAGAUGCCACAAGUUGACAAGGAUGGCUUCAUUCUUGUUCGACACAAGAAUUCAAGUAGUGCUGCUGCUUCACUGGCUGCAAAAGGCAUUGCUCCACCUGUAGAUCUGAAGCCAGAGUCUAUUGAUCUUGCAGCAAUAAUACAAAAGGUGGAGCGGCUGCAGGAGCGCCUGGCCUCGUCCCAGUACCUAGCCAGUUUCCUCUCGGCUGUGGACGAGGGUCUGAGUCGGCAGCGGCGGCCGUCUGGAGGCGACGCUCCGCGCCCGCACAUCGUCUGCUACGGGCUGGGCCACGCGGCGAGCAGCCCGGCGCCGCAGCGGCAGCUGGCACUGCUGCUCCAGCUGCGCGAGCACCUCUCCGCGCCGUCAGUCGAGGUGUUCGACCCCGUCUUCUGGCCCGAGGAGAAGCAGCUGCUGCGCGAGCUGCGUCUGCACGUGCUGGAGACGGACGAGCAGUGCGCGCGGCGGCUGAGCGCGCCGGCCGUUCUCUACAUGCCGCACUGUGAGAACGCCCACUACGACAACCUGCUGCGGGCCAACUGGCACCCGGACCUGCUUCCCCGCCUGCUGCUGGUCGGUAACAGCUUGGCGUCAAUCGCGCUCCGGCUGCCUUCCAGCCAGCUGCGACUCGUGUCGUUCGUGGAGCGCGCCGCACCGCACGUCACGGAACGCUCCGAACGGAUUGCCGAGGCCGAUCUGCUUCCCGCCUUCAACGACACAGCCGUGCAGUGGUUCGAGGCGGGAGUGUUGCGCGCGCUGCCCGCGUACUUUUGGGACGAGGCGCCACAGGAGGCGUUCGUCCCGCCACAGGAGGGGGACUCGAGCGAUGACGGCAGGGGAAAGCCGCGCAGGAGGCGACGGAAAAAGUCGCGUAACCACAGCUAGCAUCGCCAGUGUUGGUUCUACCGGAAUUGAGGAUGUGUGCGAGGCUAACGGCUCGUGCUCGCCCGCCGCCGGGGACCGUGGCUCGGUGGGGAGCGCUGCAGUACGCUGUCGACUGCCGUGGCUGGCCGUAGCCGUAGCCGUGGCCGCUGCCGCUGCCGCUGUAGCUGUGCCGUGGUGGCGCAGCCAGAACCCGUCUCCUUGCGGCAGCGGAGAGUUUCGCCUGCCGGGAAUGUCAGCCUGUACACCGCUGCUCGGCUGUCCCGAGCUGGCCGAGGUCGAGAUCCUAGAGCAGGUCGGCCAGGGCAGCACUAAGAGCGUGUACCGCGGCCUGUGGCGGGGUCACCAGGUGGCUCUGGCGGCACUGGCCGAACCCUCCCUGCGAGCAGACUUCCACCACGGCCUGCAGAUGCUGCGCUCGCUCAGUCCCUCGGAGCACGUGGUACAGCUGGUCGGCUUCUGCGGGGAUGUGAUUGUGACUGAAUUUCACCGGCGAGGUGACGCCAGCGCGGCCGCAGACCUGGUGAGGACAGCCGGCGGCGCGACGGCCGCCCGCCUAGCACUGCGCCUGUGUCGCAGCUACGCGGAAGCUCUGGCGUUCCUGCAUAACUCGCCAGCGGGCCGACGUGUCAUGUGUGACUCGAAUGACCUCCAGAAGACGCUGCAGCAGUGGCUGCUGACCGCUGAUGACUGGCUGGUGGUCGCUGAUCUGGACGCACUGCCCGACGCUAGCGCCGGGCCCGUGCGCUGCGGACGGCGUCCCAUCGAAGGAGAGUUUGCUGCCCCAGAACAGAGGUGGCGCGACGGGCGUGAGCCGCCCGGCUACGACGAGAAGACUGACGUUUGGAAGCUGGCUGCAGUGUGUGAUCAUUUUCUGUCGGCGGCGCCUGAUGGCGAGUAUUUGAAACUUGAACUUCACGGGAUACACAAGAGAUGUCGCUCUGUCCCUGCGCGGCUGCGUCCAUCAGCCGCGGAAGUGGUGGAAGAGUAUGAUCGUGUUGUCCACGGAUUUAGCGAGUCAGAAUAUGUGUCACCGACACUAUGAUGGUGCCUGCUUUUUGACACAUUGUGAUAUCUAAAUAAUAAUGUAAAAGGAA
rnacentral:misc_RNA from 1 species